UCUGAAAACCGUUCAAAACUGUUCAAAUUUCAGGUUCUAAAAUGUGACGCGAGUAACAUAUAAAAAAAAAAUAGAAAUAAAAUAAAACUACAAUGGAGUACAUGGGAUAAAGAUUAUGGGACUUUGUAAUCUUCCGUGGUGAUCGCUACCUACAGCUACACUUGCUCAACGGCAGAUAAGCGCAGCGGUAUUGCUGCGGUGGAACUUUAAUUAGUUUACUCGUGCAGAAGCCACAGCUGGUGUCAGACAGUAUUAAAAAUGCCUCCCUCUAUGUCGUUGACGGCUCAAGUGUUAGCAAGGAAUACCAAUGUGCCUAUCUUUUACGCAGCCUCGAGGGCUGCCAGUUCUUUCUGGGGCAAAGUUCCUAUGGGACCCCCGGACGUCAUCCUGGGCAUCACGGAAGCUUACAAGAAAGACAAACACCCUAAGAAAGUGAAUCUGGGUGUUGGUGCGUACAGAGACGAUGAAGGAAAACCUUUCAUCUUGCCAUCAGUGAGGAAGGCAGAAGAGCUGAUCUACAGCAAAUGCAUGAAUCACGAGUAUGCACCGAUUGCUGGGGAGGCAGUAUACACCAAAGCUGUGGCUGAACUGGCCUUCGGACAAUGCAGUUUAGCACUCAAAGAGAAAACCAACUGCACAGUACAGACACUAUCCGGUACUGGGGCCCUCCGACUAGGACUGGAGUUCAUUACAAAGCAUUACGAGCAGGUGAAGGAAGUCUGGUUCCCCACCCCCACUUGGGGCAACCACCCUCAGAUCUGUAACACUCUCAAGCUGCCCCACAAGAAGUACCGCUACUAUGACCCCAAGACGCAUGGCUUCAACCUGCAGGGUGCCUGCGAAGAUAUCUGUUCAAUGCCCGAAGGUUCCAUCAUUCUUCUGCACGCCUGUGCACACAACCCCACUGGUGUCGACCCCAAAAAGGAAGAGUGGCAAACUCUGUCGAAGAUUAUCAAAGAGAAGAAGUUGCUGCCAUUCUUCGACAUGGCGUACCAAGGAUUUGCCACCGGCAACGUUGACAACGACGCCUAUGCCGUACGUCUCUUUGAAAAGGAAGGCCACCAACUGAUGCUUGCACAGAGUUUUGCUAAGAACAUGGGUUUGUACGGAGAGCGUGUGGGAGCUCUCACCUUCCUUUGUGGGGACCCCGACACUGCCGCCAACAUGAUGUCCCAGCUCAAGAUCAUGAUCCGCACCAUGUACUCCAACCCCUCCAUCAAUGGAUCCCGCCUCGUCACAGAAAUCCUCACCUCCCCCGAACUCAAGAAAGAAUGGUUAGAGGAUGUCAAACUCAUGGCCGACCGUAUCAUCACAAUGCGCAAACGCCUGCGCUCUGGUAUCGAGAAGCACGGCAACAAGAACAACUGGAAACACAUUACUGACCAGAUCGGCAUGUUCUGCUACACUGGACUCAAGCCCAAUGAGGUUGAGCGUCUUACUAAGGAAUUCCACAUUUACCUGACGAAGGACGGCCGUAUCUCCGUAGCUGGCAUCUCUUCAAAUAACGUCGAUUACAUAGCUGAGGCAAUGCACAAGGUCACCAGCAAAUAAUAGGGUACUUGUUCUUUUUAUUAUUUUAAGCCUGCAACAUUGCUUUUAAAAUGCAAAGAGUAUUUACAAAACUGCGGGUUUCUAUAUCCGGUCUAUCCAUUGUUUAAUCGGAAUUAGAGUUUGGAUUUUAACAUUUGAAUCAUGUCAAUUGUCAAUCCCUCCGUCCCCCCUGUAAUUCUUUUGAAGGAAACUGUAACAGUGGUAGUUGGAGCAAUUCUGCGUUUUUUAUUCUGUUGAUUUUAGAUAGCACCAUAAAUUUAAAAUAUAUCUGUCAUAUUAUUCCAGUUAUGUGAAGCAUACAUUUAUAUCGGAAUUACUGUUUUUCAGCUACACAUUAACCGACUUAGUCAAUUGUGUCGUGCAGUACCGUUGCGUCGCGACGUUUCCGAGAUUACUUCAACGUACCGAGAGAACACAGUAUUUAUAAAACCAGCUUGUUUUUAAUUAUUAUUUUUCUAUUUGCUUUUAUCAUAUACUUUUAUAUCUAUUUUAUUUUUAAAUUAAAAAACGUAACCCUCUUAUUCAUAAAAUAUCCCUUGAAUUUAAUAUUUUUUUAAACUGUCUUAGUCAUAUUUAAGUUUAUGAUGUGAUAAGUGAAGCAUUUGCAAUAACUUUAUGAAUAAGGGGCUACAUAUUUGAAACAGAA